CCUACGGGGGGCAUCAGUGGGGAAUAUUGCACAAUGGGGGGAACCCUGAUGCAGCGACGCCGCGUGGGUGAAGGAGUAUUUCGGUAUGUAAAGCCCUAUCAGCAGGGAAGAACAAUGACGGUACCUGACUAAGAAGCACCGGCUAAAUACGUGCCAGCAGCCGCGGUAAUACGUAUGGUGCAAGCGUUAUCCGGAUUUACUGGGUUGAAAGGGAGCGCAGGCGGCGCGUUAAGCCUGGUGUGAAAGCCCGCGGCCCAACCGCGGGACUGCAUUGGGAACUGGCGCGCUGGAGUGCCGGAGGGGUAGGCGGAAUUCCUAGUGUAGCGGUGAAAUGCGUAGAUAUUAGGAGGAACACCAGUGGCGAAGGCGGCUUACUGGACUGUAACUGACAUUGAGGCUCGAAAGCGUGGGGAGCAAACAGGAUUAGAUACCCGUGUAGUC
rnacentral:rRNA from 1 species